UACGUAGGGUGCAAGCGUUGUCCGGAAUUAUUGGGCGUAAAGAGCUCGUAGGCGGUUUGUCGCGUCUGCUGUGAAAACGCGAGGCUCAACCUCGCGCCUGCAGUGGGUACGGGCAGACUGGAGUGCGGUAGGGGAGAUUGGAAUUCCUGGUGUAGCGGUGGAAUGCGCAGAUAUCAGGAGGAACACCGGUGGCGAAGGCGGGUCUCUGGGCCGAUACUGACGCUGAGAAGCGAAAGCGUGGGGAGCGAACAGG
rnacentral:rRNA from 1 species